GAUGAACGCUGGCGGCGUGCCUAAUACAUGCAAGUCGAGCGAACAGACGAGGAGCUUGCUCCUCUGACGUUAGCGGCGGACGGGUGAGUAACACGUGGAUAACCUACCUAUAAGACUGGGAUAACUUCGGGAAACCGGAGCUAAUACCGGAUAAUAUAUUGAACCGCAUGGUUGAAUAGUGAAAGACGGUUGUGCGGGCACGUAUAGAUGGAUCUGGGCCGCAUUAGGUAGUUGGUAAGUUAACGGCUUACCAAGGCAACGAUGCGUAGCCGACCUGAGAGAGUGAUCGCCCACACGAGAACUUAGACACGGUCCAGAGUCCUACGGUAGGCAGCAGUAGGGAAUCUUCCGCAAUGGGCGAAAGCCUGACGGAGCAACGGCGCGUCAGUUAUGAAGGUCUUCCGAUCGGAAAACUCUGUUAUGAGUGAAGAACCAAUGUGUAAGUAACUAUGCACGUCUUGACGGUACCUAAUCAGAAAGCCACGGCUAACUACGUG
rnacentral:rRNA from 1 species